GACGAACGCUGGCGGCGUGCUUAACACAUGCAAGUCGAACGGAAAGGCCCUGCUUGCCGGGUACUCGAGUGGCGAACGGGUGAGUAACACGUGGGUGAUCUGCCCUGCACUUCGGGAUAAGCCUGUGAAACUGGGUCUAAUACCGGAUAGGAGCCAUUUUUAGUGUGAUGGUUGGAAAGUUUUUUCGGUGUAGGAUGAGCUCGCGGCCUAUCAGCUUGUUGGUGGGGUAAUGGCCUACCAAGGCGGCGACGGGUAGCCGGCCUGAGAGGGUGGACGGCCACAUUGGGACUGAGAUACGGCCCAGACUCCUACGGGAGGCAGCAGUGGGGAAUAUUGCACAAUGGGCGCAAGCCUGAUGCAGCGACGCCGCGUGGGGGAUGACGGCCUUCGGGUUGUAAACUCCUUUCGCUAGGGACGAAGCUUUUGUGACGGUACCUAGAUAAGAAGCACCGGCUAACUACGUG
rnacentral:rRNA from 1 species